GGACGUUACAAACAGCCUAAAUCUUCGUUAUAAAUAUUUCCAUAGCAUUUUCAUCCUCCACACAUCUUCAUAAUCCUUCUCUUCAAACCUUAAACACUUCCCAAUUCUGACUUACCUUCAUUUUCCACUCACUUGAAAAGCAAUGGCAGAAGCAGUUCUCUGUGAUCUUGCAGGGGGAAUCAUUUCAAAGCUGGCUUCUCUAGUUCUUCAAGAGACUAUUCUGUGCUUUGGUGUCAAAGACGAUCUUGGGAAACUCGGGAGGACAGUUUCAACGAUCCAAGCUGUGCUUCUUGAUGCAGAGCAGCAGUAUUCGCAGAGUCAUCAAGUCAAAGUUUGGGUUGAUUCACUAAAAGAAGCAUUUUACGAUGCUGAUGACUUGUUAGAUGAGUUCUCCACAGAUGUUUUGCUGAAGCAGAUGAUGACUGGCAAUAAAAUGGUGAAGGAGGUACGCCUCUUCUUUUCAAGCUCAAACCCGUUUGUUUAUGGUCUUAAAAUGGCUCAUAAGAUUGAAAAUGUUAGAAGCAGAUUAGAUGAGAUUGCUGCAAAUAGGAGGUUUCACUUAAAUGAGUGUCAGGAGAUCACAGCUCCUAUGGUUGAGGAAAGAGAGCAAACUCACUCAUCUCUACCGCAAGUAGUUGUUGGUAGAGAAGAUGAUAAGAAGAAAAUCAUUGAUUUUCUUCUGUCUUCUAGUCAUGGGGAGAAUGUGUCAAUCAUUUCCAUUGUGGGUAUUGGAGGCUUAGGAAAGACAACACUUGCUCAACUUGCAUACAAUGAUGUGGUGGUGAAAUCAUAUUUUGACCUCAAAAUUUGGGUGUGCAUUUCUGAAAAUUUUGAUGUAAAAGUAAUUGUUGAAAAGAUUUUGGAAUCUCUUGAUGGUGAGAAACCUAAAAAUCUUGAAAUGAAUACCUUGAAAGAUCUUCUUCUUGAAAAAAUUAGUGAAAAAAAAUAUUUACUUGUUUUGGAUGAUUUGUGGGAUGAUGAUUCAGAAAAAUGGUUUAAGUUGAAGGAUUUGUUAGUUGGAGGUGCAAGUGGAAGCAAAAUUAUUGUAACCACACGUCACAGAAAAGUUGCAGAAAUGAUAAGAUCAGAAAAAACACAUGACUUACAAAAGCUACUUCCUGAUGAUUCGUGGUCUUUACUUAAAAAAAUGGCCUCUAAACCAGGGCAAGUGAUUAGCUUAGAACAUGAGAAAGUUGGAAGAGAAAUUGUGAAAAAGUAUUGUGAUGGGGUCCCUUUAGCCAUAAGUGUAAUAGGACGUGUAUUGUUUUUUAAAAAUACAAUAGAUGAGUGGCAACUUUUCAAAGAAAAAGAACUUCCAAAUGUAAAUGAAGAGGGAAAUAGUAUUAUGCAGACUCUCAAAUUGAGUUAUAAUUAUCUACCUUCUCAUUUAAAGCGUUGUUUUGCUUAUUAUAGUUUACAUCCAAAAAAUUAUAGAAUUGAUAUAAGACAUUUGGUGGGUCUUUGGAUAGCACAAGGAUUUAUCAAAUCUUCAGAUUCAAAACAAAGUCUUGGAGAUAUAGGCUUAACAUAUUUCAAGGAUCUUGUAUGGAGGUUUUUCUUUGAAAAAGUAGUAGAAGAUUUAUCAGGUAAUUUAACAUAUUGUAAAAUGCAUGAUUUGAUGUGUGACCUUGCUGUGCAAGUUGCUGGAGAGGAAAGCAUUCUAUUAAAUUCAGAUGCAGAGUGUGUUCAAAAAGGAACUCGACAUUUGUCACUUGAUUUUAAGGUUGAUUCAUGGAAUAAAGUUGCAAGUUGUUUACCUAGUAUGACAAAGGUGCGAACGUUUACAUCAUUCAAUUGGUCUACAAGGCAUGAUAUUAAAGAAGAAGAAUGCCACAAAAUUCUUUCCAAAUUAAGCCGUGUAAGGGCGUUAAAUUUGGGUGGUUUGGGAAUUGAGAAACUGCCACGUUCCAUUGGCAAAUUGAAGCACAUAAGAUUUCUUUGUCUUUCUGAAAAUAAAGGCCUUGAGAUCCUUCCUGAUUCCAUACUUGAACUUCAAAACUUGCAAAUUCUGUACCUAAAUGGCUGUGAAAGACUUAGGCAGUUGCCUAGACACAUUAAAAAGUUGGUGAAUCUCCAGCAAAUUUACCUUACGGGAUGUGUUAGUCUGACUCAUAUGCCACCUCGGAUUGGUCAACUCACUUCCCUUGAGAAUUUAUCGGUAUUCAUGGUAGCCAAAGAUGGCAGUGUCUCCAAACAUAGCGGUGGCCUCUGUGAAUUACAUGACUUGAACAAUCUGGGAGGAUAUCUGGAAAUCAUGAAUCUACGGUAUGUGAAAAAUCCAGCAUCUGAAUUUAAGGCAGCCAAUUUGAAAGAGAAGCAACACCUUCAAUUCUUGAGAUUAUCAUGGAAAUUGGGCGAUCCCUAUGAUAAUAAUAGUGAUAGUGGUUCAAAUGAUGUGGAAAAUGAAGAAGAAAUAUCAUUAGAAGAGCUGCGGCCACACAUUAAUCUUAAAUGGUUGAUUGUGCUUGGGUGCCGAAGACUCUUGUUUCCAAGCUGGAUUUCUACCCUCUCUAAUUUGGUGGAACUUCGAAUUGAUAACUGCAAAAAAUGCCAGCAUUUUCCACCGUUGGAUCGGUUCCCUUCACUUAAAACUUUGGGGAUUUAUAAUUCAACUGAUCUGGAGUACAUAGAGAGUGGGAUUAAUUGCGACAAUGCAUUAUUCUUCCCUUCCUUAGAGAGACUCUGGCUCUUAAAUUGCCCAAAUCUGAAGGGAUGGAGGAGGGAUACAUCCACGCCUCAGUUGCUACAAUUUCACUGUCUUUUUUAUUUGGAAAUCAGGUCUUGCCCCAACCUCACUUCAAUGCCUCUAAUUCCAUCUGUCCAACAAUUGGUAUUGAAAAAUGCCAACAAGAAGUCACUGGAGGACAUACUGAAGAUGAAGAUUUCGGUGUCGCAAUC
rnacentral:misc_RNA from 1 species